UAGACUGGAUUAAGAAAAUGUGGCACAUAUACACCAUGGAAUACUAUGCAGCCAUAAAAAAUGGUGAGUUCAUGUCCUUUGUAGGGUCAUGGAUGAAGCUGGAAACCAUCAUUCUCAGAAAACUAUCGCAAGGACAAAAAACCAAACACCGCAUGUUCUCACUCAUAGGUGGGAAUUGAACAAUGAGAAAACAUGGACACAGGAAGGGGAACGUCACACACCGGCGACUGUUGUGGGGUGGGGGGAGGGGGGAGGGAUAGCAUUAGGAGAUAUACCUAAUGAUAAAUGACGAGUUAAUGGGUGCAGCACACCAACAUGGCACAUGUAUACAUAUGUAACAAACCUGCACAUUGUGCACAUGUACCCUAAAACUUAAAGUAUAAUAAUAAUAAAACUAAAUAAAUAAAUAAAUCUACGGGUGGAUUUUUCAGAUGCACUGGCAGAGCAAAUAUCGGUUUUAUAUAAAAAGUCAGCAUAAGCCAAUUGGAGAAAUGUGAGGGAAUGCUUCUAACUACUUCAUUACAUCCUAAUCACAAAAGCAGAAAGGACAAUGGAUAAAGACAAAAGCAAAUGUACAUUAUCACAUUUUGGCCCUAUACAACUAUUAGGACAAGAGAGGAAGGAGAAAAGCAGGCCCACGUCAGUUUAAAAAUGCCAUGUAAGUCAGGUACCUUGAAAACAAUCAUAGGCAGGGGGCGCGGGGAGGGAUAGCAUGAGGAGAUAUACCUAAUGUAAAUGACGGGUUAAUGGGUGCAGCACACCAACACGGCACAUGUAUACAUAUGUAACAAAACUGCACAUUGUGCACAUGUACUCUAGAACUUAAAGUAUAAUAAUAAAUAUAAUAAUAAUAAUAAAGAAAGAAAGAAAACAAUCAUAGGCUUUGUUCCAGCAAGGCUGAAACUGCCUUUGCAAAAAUUACAACUAAGGAAAUUAUGACAGUAAAAGAGAUCAGACCUAACUGACUCGACUCUAUCUUGCUUCUAACCUUUAAGCUGGCCUUGUUCAUUCCUGGGCAUAGGCCAAACUAACCUUGGGAAGGAAUUUAGUUUAUAGUUCAACUUUGAAACAAAAUUAAUAAUAGCCCUUUCCCAAAGGGGAAAGCAAAACAAAUCACCCCUUCUUGCCUGGGGACCAGUCUGAGUCUGUCUUUGUAGGACUAACAAACUAGCUACAAGAUUAGAAAUUAUGGUUUGGGGCCAACACUGCACUCCAGGUCUGGUAAUCUGGCUCAACCAGAUUGAGGCUGGUAACCUGGCUCAACCAGUUCUGCGAUUUCACCCAAGAACAGAAGACAGCAAGAGAAACUCACUUUGACCCCCUAUGAUUCCAUCUCCAACCCGACCAAUCAGCACACCCCACUUCCCAAGCCUCUCCCCACCAAAUUAUCCUUAAAAACUCUGAUCCCGGGGAAGGCUUGGAAAGACAGAUUUGAGUAAUAAUAAAACUCCAGUGUCCCACACAGCUUCUCUGCAUGAAUUACUCUUUCUCCAUUGCAAUUCCCUUGUCUAGGCAGCGGGCAGGGUUUCUAGAAGGCUGACAAGGAAAAAAAACACAAACAAAAAUUUGUCUUACAACCAAUAGUGCGGAGGUCGGGAUGGGGGCAGAAGGGUGAGAACUAACAAAUUAGCUCGGAUUUUGGUCUCUCCUGGCCUCUUUCCAUCUGAGAAUUGGGGGAACCUUCU
rnacentral:lncRNA from 1 species